UAGAUAUAAUGCUAUUAGAAAC
rnacentral:piRNA from 1 species